rnacentral:rRNA from 1 species
UACGGAGGGGGCUAGCGUUGUUCGGAAUUACUGGGCGUAAAGCGCACGUAGGCGGGUUUUUAAGUCAGAGGUGAAAUCCUGGAGCUCAACUCCAGAACUGCCUUUGAUACUGAAGAUCUUGAGUUCGGGAGAGGUGAGUGGAACUGCGAGUGUAGAGGUGAAAUUCGUAGAUAUUCGCAAGAACACCAGUGGCGAAGGCGGCUCACUGGCCCGAUACUGACGCUGAGGCACGAAAGCGUGGGGAGCAAACAGG